UACGUAGGGUGCGAGCGUUACUCGGAAUUACUGGGCGUAAAGCGUGCGCAGGCGGUUCGUUGUGUCGGCGGUGAAAUCCCCGAGCUCAACUUGGGAAUUGCAAUGGAUACUGGCAGGCUGGAGUAUGGUAGAGGAAGGUGGAAUUCCCGGUGUAGCAGUGAAAUGCGUAGAGAUCGGGAGGAACACCAGUGGCGAAGGCGGCCUUCUGGACCAAUACUGACGCUCAUGCACGAAAGCGUGGGGAGCAAACAGG
rnacentral:rRNA from 1 species